rnacentral:misc_RNA from 1 species
GUAGGUGAACCUGCGGAAGGAUCAUUACCGAGUUCAUGCCCUCACGGGUAGACCUCCCACCCUUUGUAUACCUUACCUCUUGUUGCUCCGGUGGGCUUCGACCGGCCUCGGCUGGGAAGCGCUCGCCGGACAGCAUACCAAACCCAUUAUAGUGUCGUCUGAGAAAAAAGUUUAAUAUUUAAAACUUUCAACAACGGAUCUCUUGGCUCUGGCAUCGAUGAAGAACGCAGCAUCUGACUGACUUCAGUAC